AUGCGUGGAGAAGAGGCACUGGGGCAGGCGAGCUUCACUGUGGCGCAGGCUUGGGAGGUUCCUCUCCAGUGCGGCGGCGAGAGGAAGAACUCCGGUGGUUCCCGUGGUGAGCUCCGCCGGUGGGAUCCGGUAGGAGGCUGCGGCGCGCGAGGUUUCCAACGAGCGACGAUGCGCGAGGUUGGCCGAUGGUGUGGUGGCGUCGAAGAGGAUCUGGGGGAGAGGGUGGCAAUCUUGCCGGGUGGCGGCGGCACCGCCGGUUGGGGGCUGGGUGGCGGGCGUGUAGCCGAUUUGGGGAGGGAGGUGCGGGAGGGAGGUUGGGGAUCUGGAUCCGGAAGGGGGUGGAUUGGGAUUGGGGGAGGUGGAGUGGGUUUUCCUCUUUUGUUUGUCGCUGCUGGGUUCGGGAGCUCUCAAGCAUCCCUUCCGCUCCUAUAUACAGCACCGUGA
rnacentral:rRNA from 1 species